GUAACACGUGGAUAACCUGCCUCAAGGCUGGGGAUAACAUUUGGAAACAGAUGCUAAUACCGAAUAAAACUUAGUAUCGCAUGAUACAAAGUUAAAAGGCGCUACGGCGUCACCUGGAGAUGGAUCCGCGGUGCAUUAGUUAGUUGGUGGGGUAAAGGCUUACCAAGACAAUGAUGCAUAGCCGAGUUGAGAGACUGAUCGGCCACAUUGGGACUGAGACACGGCCCAAACUCCUACGGGAGGCUGCAGUAGGGAAUCUUCCACAAUGGGCGCAAGCCUGAUGGAGCAACGCCGCGUGUGUGAUGAAGGCUUUCGGGUCGUAAAGCACUGUUGUAUGGGAAGAAAUGCUAAAAUAGGGAAUGAUUUUAGUUUGACGGUACCAUACCAGAAAGGGACGGCUAAAUACGUGCCAGCAGCCGCGGUAAUACGUAUGUCCCGAGCGUUAUCCGGAUUUAUUGGGCGUAAAGCGAGCGCAGACGGUUGAUUAAGUCUGAUGUGAAAGCCCGGAGCUCAACUCCGGAAUGGCAUUGGAAACUGGUUAACUUGAGUGUUGUAGAGGUAAGUGGAACUCCAUGUGUAGCGGUGGAAUGCGUAGAUAUAUGGAAGAACACCAGUGGCGAAGGCGGCUUACUGGACAACAACUGACGUUGAGGCUCGAAAGUGUGGGUAGCAAACAGGAUUAGAUACCCUGGUAGUCCACACCGUAAACGAUGAAUACUAGGUGUUAGGAGGUUUCCGCCUCUUAGUGCCGAAGCUAACGCAUUAAGUAUUCCGCCUGGGGAGUACGACCGCAAGGUUGAAACUCAAAGGAAUUGACGGGGACCCGCACAAGCGGUGGAGCAUGUGGUUUAAUUCGAAGCAACGCGAAGAACCUUACCAGGUCUUGACAUCCUUUGAAGCUUUUAGAGAUAGAAGUGUUCUCUUCGGAGACAAAGUGACAGGUGGUGCAUGGUCGUCGUCAGCUCGUGUCGUGAGAUGUUGGGUUAAGUCCCGCAACGAGCGCAACCCUUAUUGUUAGUUGCCAGCAUUCAGUUGGGCACUCUAGCGAGACUGCCGGUGACAAACCGGAGGAAGGCGGGGACGACGUCAGAUCAUCAUGCCCCUUAUGACCUGGGCUACACACGUGCUACAAUGGCGUAUACAACGAGUUGCCAACCUGCGAAGGUGAGCUAAUCUCUUAAAGUACGUCUCAGUUCGGACUGCAGUCUGCAACUCGACUGCACGAAGUCGGAAUCGCUAGUAAUCGCGGAUCAGCACGCCGCGGUGAAUACGUUCCCGGGUCUUGUACACACCGCC
rnacentral:rRNA from 1 species